AGAGUUUGAUCCUGGCUCAGGACGAACGCUGGCGGCGUGCUUAACACAUGCAAGUCGAACGGUGAUGAUGGGGCUUGCCCUGUCUGAUCAGUGGCGAACGGGUGAGUAACACGUGAGCAACCUGCCCCAGGCUCUGGGAUAACUCCGGGAAACCGGAGCUAAUACCGGAUAUGACCCUCGUACGCAUGUGCUGGGGGUGGAAAGUUUUUCGGUCUGGGAUGGGCUCGCGGCCUAUCAGCUUGUUGGUGAGGUAGUGGCUCACCAAGGCGACGACGGGUAGCCGGCCUGAGAGGGCGACCGGCCACACUGGGACUGAGACACGGCCCAGACUCCUACGGGAGGCAGCAGUGGGGAAUAUUGCACAAUGGGCGGAAGCCUGAUGCAGCGACGCCGCGUGAGGGAUGAAGGCCUUCGGGUUGUAAACCUCUUUCAGCAGGGAAGGAAGCGAAAGUGACGGUACCUGCAGAAGAAG
rnacentral:rRNA from 1 species